CAGAGUUGCAAAACUCCCACAACCAUCGCUGAACCUUACCAUCACAUAGUUGCUUCGGCGGCGCCGCUCCCGGGGCACACCGGAGCGGCGGCCCGCUCCGGAGGCCGGCAACCGUAGAAGACGAAACUCUUAGUAUACCAGUGACAUCUGAGUAACUAUACUAAUAAGUAA
rnacentral:misc_RNA from 1 species